AUGCCUUAAACUUACCAGUAAGGAAACUAAUGAUUCGGGAUGAUGCCUGAAUCCUCACUGUUAAUGUAAAUGAAGUUUUGAGCUGGUAAAGCUUUCCCCUAAGGCGACCGGCCUACAUCGCAGGAUGCCUGGGAAUCACAAUCUGCCCA